rnacentral:rRNA from 1 species
GUGUCAGCCGCCGCGGUAAUACGGAGGGUGCAAGCGUUAUCCGGAUUUACUGGGUUUAAAGGGUGUGUAGGCGGGCUAUUAAGUCAGUGGUGAAAUCUCCGAGCUUAACUUGGAAACUGCCAUUGAUACUAUUAGUCUUGAAUUUUGUUGAGGUAGGCGGAAUAAGUCAUGUAGCGGUGAAAUGCUUAGAUAUGACUUAGAACACCAAUUGCGAAGGCAGCUUGCUAAACAAACAUUGACGCUGAGGCACGAAAGCGUGGGGAUCAAACAGGAUUAGAAACCCCGGUAGUCC